UUUGAAUAAAUAUAUGCCUUUCGUAUAUCCUCGAUAAUAUGGAUCGAAAGUUUCUACCGGAGUACCGUAAAUGCUCUGACUAUGAAGGCAGAAUUUCUAUAG
rfam:Oceanobacillus picturae, S1, WGS project CCAX01000000 data, contig: 000002